UGAAGCAGGGGUCCCGCAUGGGGAUAUUUGCUAAAGAUUCAUCGCUGAUAGAUAGGCAUGCGUUCCAUUAGGCAGUUGGCGGGGUAACGGCCCACCAAACCGACGAUGGAUAGGGGUUCUGAGAGGAAGGUCCCCCACAUUGGUACUGAGACACGGACCAAACUCCUACGGGAGGCAGCAGUGAGGAAUAUUGGUCAAUGGCCGAGAGGCUGAACCAGCCAAGUCGCGUGAGGGAUGAAGGUUCUAUGGAUCGUAAACCUCUUUUAUAAGGGAAUAAAGUGCGGGACGUGUCCCGUUUUGUAUGUACCUUAUGAAUAAGGAUCGGCUAACUCCGUGCCAGCAGCCGCGGUAAUACGGAGGAUCCGAGCGUUAUCCGGAUUUAUUGGGUUUAAAGGGUGCGUAGGCGGCCUUUUAAGUCAGCGGUGAAAGUCUGUGGCUCAACCAUAGAAUUGCCGUUGAAACUGGGGGGCUUGAGUAUGUUUGAGGCAGGCGGAAUGCGUGGUGUAGCGGUGAAAUGCAUAGAUAUCACGCAGAACCCCGAUUGCGAAGGCAGCCUGCCAAGCCAUUACUGACGCUGAUGCACGAAAGCGUGGGGAUCAAACAGGAUUAGAUACCCUGGUAGUCCACGCAGUAAACGAUGAUCACUAGCUGUUUGCGAUACACUGUAAGCGGCACAGCGAAAGCGUUAAGUGAUCCACCUGGGG
rnacentral:rRNA from 1 species